rnacentral:pre_miRNA from 3 species
AGCUGGUAAAAUGGAACCAAAUCAGCUGUUGGAUGGAUUUGGUCCCCUUCAACCAGCUGU